UUUAAUCAUAAUCCUGUUCUUUCAAACAUCUCUGUCCAUGGUGAGUGAGCCUUUCUACACAGCAGCAUUAUACCUAAACUGAACUGUAGAGAUGCAAAAACCUUUAUUAUUUCCCAAAUAAUCCGAUUGAACUUGAUUCUUCUGUGGCAAAUAAACUAUCUGAAUGCUUUUCAGGUGAGGUCAAGCUCACCACUGUUACAUGGACGACUUUGGAACCAGAGAGCACAGAAGAGACUUUCUGGCCAAAUGUGUACCGUGUUGUUGGAAUCAUGGCGUUUGUCAUCACGGUGCUAACUGUAUGGGUUGCUUCAAGCUGUGGGUGUAAAGGAGAAUCCAGGGACACACCAGAUCUGAGCUGCCAGCCCUCCCAUGAUGCAUUGACUACCACCACUAUCUAUGAAAACGUUUAGUAGUCUCCAUAUCUGUGCCUUGAUAUUAAUCUGCUCAGUUAAAAUGACUCAUAUCAAAACAUUUCAUAGUAUUCAUUUCAAGAUUUUGUAACCUGCAACUUGUA